UACGUAGGGUGCGAGCGUUGUCCGGAAUUAUUGGGCGUAAAGAGCUUGUAGGCGGUCUGUCGCGUCUGCUGUGAAAAUCCGGGGCUCAACCCCGGACUUGCAGUGGGUACGGGCAGACUAGAGUGUGGUAGGGGAGACUGGAAUUCCUGGUGUAGCGGUGAAAUGCGCAGAUAUCAGGAGGAACACCGGUGGCGAAGGCGGCAUCCUGGACCGGCAUUGACGCUGAGUGAG
rnacentral:rRNA from 1 species